UCUCCCUUCAGUGGUUUGAGAGAAGCCGCUCUUUUGGCUGCUGGAUCUGUUGGCCUGUCCUUCAUCUGUAACUUCCUGGCCAUGGAGCUGCUCUCCUCUGAGUUCAGAUCUGGUCCCCAGCUGUCGUCUGGUCUGUGGCUGAGUCUGGCCGCUUCUACCAACACAGGAGUGAUGGAGCAGAGUCAGUGAGGACAGCUGCCAUGACACACAGAGGCUCAGGCUCAACAAGCUGGUGAGGAAGGCACACUCUGUGGUCGGCCUGGAACUGGACAGCUUGGAGACAGUGGCUGAGAGGAGGAUGAGGGACAAAAUCACAGCCAUCCUGGACCACUCCUCUCAUUCUCUCCAUGAUGACCUGUGGCAGAUGGGCAGCAAACGUCUUAUACUGUAUCUCGACAUGUUUCCUUUGUCGACUGUGAUUUCUAAAUGUCCUGUGUCAUUAACUAAAAUCACAACUACGCAGUUAUUCUUGCCAUACUAAUUGGCAAUUUAAAAGAGCCCUUUAAUUCAUUUGAGUAGUGUAUUUGCAGGAAUCAGCAGCCAGUCGGGCCAAGCAGACAGUGCUGAGAGAAGCUUUCUCGUCUUUAAAGCUACCCUCAGACUGUCUAAAGGCAAAAUGUCUUAAAUGCAAGAUCAACAGCACACCAAACCUAAACAUUAACUGAGGAGCCAGGAAUGCCCUGUGACUCACAUUUUUGCUUCAUUAGGUGCUUUUGUGUUUAUGAAACCUACUGAUCCAGAUUCUGCCCUCCUCAGAGACUUCUGGUAAUUAAUAUCAGGAAAAAAAGGAAAAGUUAUUCAAACAGGACUAAAAAACAUUUAGAUCUAUGAAAGCCCUAGUUCACUGUUCAGGCUGCAAAUACUAUACAGCAAACAUUUAAAAUCAGGGAAUGUGUUUUAAGAAUUCACAAGAUUUCCAAGUACUUACAUCGGAUUUAAUGAAAGGAAAAGAUGAAUUUGUGUAUAAAAACAAAACACUUUAUUACAAUUAGGCUGAAAAAACCCAAUGAAAACACGACUACUUUACAAGUACAAAUGUUUUUCAUUGAUAUUUACAGUUUUUUUUCCUUGACAUCAAUAAAAAAAGACAAUUUAUGAGAAACACAAAAUACUAAAGUACAUGUAUACAGUGUAUUUGCUGCAAUAAAAAACAAAGGGCUAAA